GCACCCAUUUCCUGAUCAUGCAUUUUCUUCAUGCAGGUCACUUGCGUUCCAUGGCUCACGCAGACACGAAGGAAUACUCUGGUUGGAACUUUAUUGAAGCUAUAUGUUAAAAACAUCCUAAUGAUUGAUUCAGUACUUAGUUUGAAAUGUUUCUUCGACCGGUAAUAUCACUUUUUGAAGUUUUUGUCCGAUAUGAAGCUGACCAGAAUUAGCGUUUGGAUAUGUUUACCAAAUGCGCUAACAAUUGGACAUAAAUAACGGAUUUUUUCGAACAAAACAAACAUUUAUUGUGGACCUGGAGUUUCUGCUAAGCCUUCUGAUCGAAACCAACAAAGGACCUGAGCCCUAGGACCAUGCGUCAGGACUACCGGGCAUGAUGACUCCUUGCUGUCCCCAGUCCACCUGGCCUUGCUGCUGUUCCAGUUUCAACUGUUCUGCCUGCGGCUAUGGAACCCUGACCUGUCCACCGGACGUGCUACCUGUCCCAGACCUGCUGUUUUCAACUCUCUAGAGACCGCAGGAGCGGUAGAGAUACUCUUAAUGAUCGGCUAUGAAAAGCCAACUGACAUUUACUCCUGAGGUGCUGACUUGCUAUACCCUCGAUAACUUCUGUGAUUAUUAUUAUUUGACCAUGCUGGUCAUUUAUGAACAUUUGAACAUCUUGGCCAUGUUCUGUUAUAAUCUCCACCCGGCACAGCCAGAAGAGGACUGUCCACCCCUCAUAGCCUGGUUCCUCUCUAGGUUUCUUCCUAGGUCUUGGCCUUUCUAGGGAGUUUUUCCUAGCCACCAUGCUUCUACACCUGCAUUGCUUGAUGUUUGGGGUUUUAGGCUGGGUUUCUGUACAGCACUUCGAGAUAUUAGCUGAUGUACGAAGGGCUAUAUAAAAUAAAUUUGAUUUGAUAGUGAUGAAAUUAUGAUAGUAGAUCUGUACAGUUCAAGCUCAGCCAGGACAUAUUUGGCAGGAUAUUGGGGAUGGAAGGAGAGAGUGUGUGUGUGGCUCCCAAGGUUCGCCAUCUCCCAGUCAAUCCAACCUCCCCCUCUCCCAUCCCUCCUCUCCCCUUACCCCCCCCCCCUUCACCUCCAACCCCCUGGGCCUUGGUUUGUGACAGAUGAGGACACCAUUAAUUCCUUAACGAGAUGGAGGAGAGAGCCCACAGCCCCUCUGUCACAGCUCCUUAUGCACAGAUUUAGGAUCAGGUCUUCUAUAAUUAUAACCGUUAGGGGGAGAAAUUUGAAACUGACGACAUCUUACUGCCACAGAGGGUGAGAAGUCAACGGGCAACGUUAACACCUUUAACUGUACCACACAGAUGCUGGGACUGCUACAGUGUCUUAAGAGGGAUAUAAUACUUAGAAACUACUGUGAGGAAAAUAGUAGUUACAUGGGAUCUUUCAUGAUAAAGAUAGAAGUUAUACAAACUGUGUAAUGUGUUAGUAAAAAAAUCGAAUAAAAUCUGAAUUUAUUUCAAUUUAUAUAGAAGUUAUAUAAACUGUGUAAUGUGUUUGUAAAAAAAAUCAAAUAAAAUCUGAAUUUAUUUAAA